AUUUCCACCUCCUCAUACAUCCAGAUUUUUUAGGACAAGUUGCUGCUUCGUUCCCAGAACCAGAAAAGAUCCUUCUACGUUAACGCCGCUAAGCUUGGCAAAGAGACGCAUUGUAUCAAUGCAAGCAUUUGCGUCUUCAAUUGGGUUGGAAAAGAAGAAAAGGGUCGAUGAGAGUGACAAUUUGACCCUUGAAAAUAUUAGACGUUCAUUGAUUCGACAAGAGGAUAGCAUAAUAUAUAGCCUUUUGGAGAGAUCCCAAUACUGUUAUAAUGCAGAUACCUAUGACCCAAAUGCUUUUGCCAUGGAUGGCUUCCAUGGCUCUUUAAUAGAGUUCAUACUCAAAGAGACUGAAAAACUUCACGCGCAGGUUGGCAGAUACAAGAGCCCUGAUGAGCACCCUUUCUUCCCUGACUUGCCAGAGCCAUUGUUGCCACCUCUGCAGUACCCACAGGUGUUACAUCCCAUUGCUGAUUCAAUUAAUGUAAAUAAGAAAGUAUGGGACAUGUAUUUCAGAGAUCUUCUCCCACGAUUGGUCAAGGAUGGAAAUGAUGGCAAUACUGGUGGAUCGGCUGCUGUUUGUGACACAAUCUGCCUGCAGGCUCUCUCAAAAAGAAUUCAUUAUGGAAAAUUUGUAGCCGAAGCCAAAUUUCAGGCCUCACCAGAUGCAUAUGAAGCUGCCAUUAAAGCACAGGACAGAGAUAGAUUGAUGGAUUUGCUAACUUACAAGAAAGUUGAAGAUUCAAUCAAAAAGAGAGUGGUGAUGAAAGCGUUAACUUUCGGGCAAGAGGUGACAAUAUAUUGUGAGGAAGAUGGAAGUGACCCGGUAUACAAAAUAGAACCAAGCUUGGUUGCCGAUUUAUAUGGGGACUGGAUCAUGCCAUUGACAAAGGAAGUUCAAGUUAUGUAUUUGUUGAGAAGGUUGGCUUUGCAACGGCUGUUUAUGAUUAUACAGAGAAUGUUUUUAGAAUACCAGCUGGAUGAUGCUAUGCUUGUAACUAGACAUGCAAAAGAUGACAGAGAUGCGAGAUUGCUCUGUAAAAAUUAUCAG
rnacentral:misc_RNA from 1 species